CCCUUAGAUGUUCUGGGCCGCACGCGCGCUACACUAACGAAGUCAGCGAGCAUGUCCUACGCCGACAGGUGCGGGGAAUCUUGUCAAACUUCGUCGUGAUGGGGAUUGAUUAUUGAAAUUCUUGAUCAUCAACGAGGAAUUCCUAGUAAGCGCAAGUCAGCAGCUUGCGUUGAUUACGUCCCUGCCCUUUGUACACACCGCCCGUCGCUACUACCGAUUGAAUGGUUUAGUGAGAUCUUCGGAUUGGCGCCACUGCGGCUCAGCAAUGGGCUCGGUGGAUGCCGAAAAGUUGAUCAAACUUGAUCAUUUAGAGGAAGUAAAAGUCGUAACA
rnacentral:rRNA from 1 species